rnacentral:lncRNA from 1 species
GAGGAUUUGUCCCAUUGUUGUUGUUGUUGUUGUUGUUGUUGACUUGGGCCGGUCAAUCCUAUAAUUAUACAUGUGAAGAAGUGAACUAUAUGUAUAUCUGCAUCAUCUAAAGAAGCAACAAAGAAAACAAUGAAAAAAUAUCAAAUUGACGUUGUUACCGUAGGGCGAAGUUUGUUUUUGUUUGGUUCUGAAUCUUCUUCAUUCUUCAAAACAUAACAUAUCUUCAAUCUGCACAAAAAAUAUAAAAUUAGAUAAGCUUUGUUAAAACAACAGUGUAAACGAAACCAAAUUCAAGGAUGCGGACAAGAUAUUGUUACUGUAAGAACACGUCGACGACCUUUUUGUGUUCUGAAUCUACUUGGUACUUCCUUGAAAAAAUCUGAGUCAUCGUCCUAGUUGGAACACGAACACAAACACACAUACACACACCUGUUUCGUUUCAUCCAAGAAAGAAACAACAAACGCAUUAAUUAAGAUCCAAUAUACAAAAACAAACUCUUAUUUCAAAGGCAAAACAUCAACACCACCUUUUGUUCUGAAUCUUCUUCAUUCUUCAAACCAUAUCAUAUCUG